rnacentral:rRNA from 1 species
ACUCCUACGGGAGGCAGCAGUGGGGAAUAUUGGACAAUGGGCGAAAGCCUGAUCCAGCCAUGCCGCGUGUGUGAAGAAGGUCUUCGGAUUGUAAAGCACUUUAAGUUGGGAGGAAGGGCAUUAACCUAAUACGUUAGUGUUUUGACGUUACCGACAAAAUAAGCACCGGCUAACUCUGUGCCAGCAGCCGCGGUAAUACAGAGGGUGCAAGCGUUAAUCGGAAUUACUGGGCGUAAAGCGCGCGUAGGUGGUUCGUUAAGUUGGAUGUGAAAGCCCCGGGCUCAACCUGGGAACUGCAUUCAAAACUGACGAGCUAGAGUAUGGUAGAGGGUGGUGGAAUUUCCUGUGUAGCGGUGAAAUGCGUAAAUUUAGGAAGGAACACCAGUGGCGAAGGCAACCACCUGGACUGAUACUGACACUGAGGUGCGAAAGCGUGGGGAGCAAACAGGAUUAAAUACCCUGGUAGUCCACGCCGUAAACGAUGUCAACUAGCCUUUGGGAGCCUUGAGCUCUUAGUGGCGCAGCUAACGCAUUAAGUUGACCGCCUGGGGAGUACGGCCGCAAGGUUAAAACUCAAAGGAAUUGACGG